GGGCCCGCACAAGCGGUGGAGCAUGUGGUUUAAUUCGAUGCAACGCGAAGAACCUUACCAGGGCUUGACAUACUGCGAAUCUUUUUGAAAGAAGAGAGUGCCUUCGGGAAUGCAGAUACAGGUGGUGCAUGGCUGUCGUCAGCUCGUGUCGUGAGAUGUUGGGUUAAGUCCCGCAACGAGCGCAACCCUUGUUUUAGUUACCAAUUCGUUGGGUUUCUAGAAAGACUGCCGGUGACAAACCGGAGGAAGGUGAGGAUGACGUCAAGUCAGCAUGCCCCUUAUGUCCUGGGCUACACACGUGCUACAAUGGUUAGGACAAAGAGUCGCGAGCUCGCAAGAGUCAGCUAAUCUCAUAAACUUAGCCUAAGUUCGGAUUGUAGGCUGCAACUCGCCUACAUG
rnacentral:rRNA from 1 species